GAGCACUUAUAAUGUGUUGCAAGCCCUCCCCUUGGCAGUUAAUCUAUUUGGAGGAAAAUUUAUCGAUUUCUCACUGCUGUUCAGGGUUACAGAAGUGUGGAAUGAGAGCAUUACAUUUGCAAGAGCGGGACAAGUACUGUGAGCCUUAGGAAAAGACACAUCUGAGAAAGAAGUGAAUGCAUCUCUUCAUUGUAAUGUGCAAAGAGUAUUAAGGAGAUAUCUACUAGUAAAGGUGUUUUAUGCCUUUAAAAUCCUUACCUGAGUAGAUUUUUGCUGGAGACUGGGGAGAGGGCGGAUGUUUUCAGCACAGCAGAUAAUAUCAGAGCCUGACAAGAAUUUAUGAAUGGGAGAUGUAGACACCUUAGAAAUGAGUUAUGACUGAGCAUAGCUCACUGAAACGAAAGAAGAAAAAUCUGUGCAUCUGAGAAUCUACUGUCUAAGCUCUGGCACCGAGCAAUUUUUUUCCUAUGGUUAAUUUUUUGGCUUCAGUAAAUCCAAUCAGAUAGUGAUUUAUUACAAGUUUAUAUUCUGUGUCAUUUCCUCUUCAAUAAUAAUAUUCAAUGAUUCAUUUUCUUGUUGAGAAAGAAAGUCAAUAUUGUAAAUCCAUCCAGCUUUCAUAAACCAGCUCCUCUGGGACUUUGCACGGUCUAAUGGACUUUGUACUUUCUCUGGUACUCAUGAUACAUCUUCCUUUGCGGGCCAUUGCCUCAGGAAUCCGUCCUCUUCUUCCUUGGUGUCUGCAUCUCCCAGAUAGCCGGAGAUAGGAUGUUAUCUCUGCCAUUGGGAAGGUAAUCCACCUUGCUUCUUAAUCAUUUUUAGCCUUUUGUCAAUAUCCAACCUAGCAAUAUUGCUCUAAAUUGCUUGUACUCAUUUUCUAAGCUCUGUAGUCUGCCAUGACAAAUUCAGUGCCUUUUACAUAUAAAUGUAUCUCAGAAUAAUGGACAGGAGAGGAAGGCACUCUAGAGGAAUACAGGAACAUCAGCAGCAGGACAGAAUGAAGCCCAAUAUCCUGAUGCCAACCAUGGUCUGCUGUGAAUGCCAAGGGAAGAUCACGAGAAGAGACACAGCUGGUGAUACACCCCUGCAUCCUGUCCUGUCCCCAGGGAUCUGUCAGCUGGGAGCUUCCUGAGUCCAUUGACCCACAAAAGAUUCAGCUAUGUACAUUUCCUAAAGAAGAGUUGCUGUGAUUUCAGAAGGCCUGGGGAUGGCGGUGGGGCAGAGCCACCUCUAAGUACUGAAGGAAUUACUGUGAUGACCCCAGUGCUGAGAAAAGCUGGGCUCUGUCCUGCUCCAUGUAGUGCCAUGUGCAGCCACACGGAGAUGCCAGCUGGAGCUGGAAAGCAGCGACAUCCCUCAGCCUGGGCACUCCAGAGCAAAUCAGCCCAAGUGCCAUGCGGGGCCAUUCUCUGCUGCCCACUCUGUGUACAGACACAGCCAGGCCCUCUGCACACGAGAAUGCCCAGCUGGCUGUUGGACAUUGUCCUCUCAGUGCUGAUAGAAGCAAUGGUGGAUGCAGAAAAUGCAAUGUCCCAUGGUGAAACUGCAGCAAAGAGGUUGCAGUGGCUGAGGUCCAUGCUGCCAGGGCUGUCCAGCUCGGAGCUGGUGCCUUCCCCUGUUACCAGCACUGUCCUAUGUAAGGCUGGGACAUGAGAAUCCACAGUACAAAAAAUAAGCCCUAGGAUAGGGGAAGAAAAAAAAAAAUGAUUUUUUUACAGGACAGUUCAGUGCAAGUAAGGGAAUCUCAUUGAUUCAGAAGUUUUGGUUUCAUUUCUACCAACACAUCUCUCUCCUUGGGAUGAGCAUCUGGUAAAGAUUACAGGAAAAGAGUCUGUAACCUCACUGCUGGAGAAGAGGGUUACAAAGAAUAAGGAGGGAAAGGACAAAGCAGUGACAAUUGCUCUGGGAACUCUGUCAGACAACCUGAAGGACCGCAUUGAUGAACUGGAUGACGCCUGCAGCAGUUUAUCUCCUCAAAGCUGUUGCUUUGAUGAGUUCUUUCAGCUUGUGACAAGAUCUUGACCUUGAAGGAGCUGACUGAUAAAGAUGUGGAUGCAGCAAUUGUGCUGUGGCUCGUGUCUCCACAAUAUCUGCUCGAGCAUUCGCGCAGAAGAGCACUCUCCAGUAAACAGAGAUAUGGCUGGGCACACACCAGCCUGCACUGGGGCUGAUCAAAAAAAAAGAAGGAAAAUCGUUUUGAAAGAUAUGAACUGUUUUUAAAUGUUGAGUCAAAAGAGAUGGAUCUCCUGGGAAAGACUUCUAUGGGCUGUGCAGCAAGAAGGCAGGAGCAGCAAUGCAGGGAGCAGGCAGCCAACACGUGCGAGGACCUUGCCUGGUUGAUCAGUGCAGGCACAGGGGGCAACCUCCAGUGUCCCCUCUGCAGUCUAAAGCAGUGUCAGAAUCCGGUACAGUGCCUAAAUCCACAUCUGCCUUGCAAAAUACAUCUUGCAAUAAUAAAACAUUUUCUCAGUCUGUGUGCCAGCAAUGCAGAAAGCUGCUUUGGUGGGGAUAAACAGAGGAGGCAGAUACUCACAGCUCAUCCAUGAAACGCAGCCCUCAUGCGAUCAGCUGCUUGCAUACAGCCCCCUCACAGUAACAAACAGCACAGGGCUCUUCUCACCUCGGCAUCCUGAGCGAGGAACUGAAGGAUCUGUAUGCCCAGCAACAAAGGCCACAUAAAAGUCGAAAUGGCAUUUGACAGCAAAUGAAGCAUACCGGUUUUUAUAUGAACUCUUCCCAGCCAGUUCAGCUAGGAAGAUUUCAUGAAGAUCUAGGAGAGGCAACAUUUCCACUCCUUUCUGAAGCGAUGGUGACAGCAUGCUGCAGUCAUCGUGAUCUCCUUCCUCUCACUUCUCGCCAGACAACCACGACUCAAAGCGCCUACGCAAGCAAUGCCAACCCUGCGUGAGGUUUGGAGCUGUGUUUAUCCUGCAAUAUUAGAAGGAAAAUCUAAGGUAUUGCAAGUUGGGCACCUGAGGAAUUACUGUGCCUUGCAGAGGGGUUAAACCCACAGAAUCCCUCCAGGCUCCAUGGAAGCAGCAGGAACUGAGCAUCUCUGAAAA